rnacentral:rRNA from 1 species
GACGAACGCUGGCGGCGUGCUUAACACAUGCAAGUCGAACGGAAAGGCCCUGCUUUUGUGGGGUGCUCGAGUGGCGAACGGGUGAGUAACACGUGAGUAACCUGCCCUUGACUUUGGGAUAACUUCAGGAAACUGGGGCUAAUACCGGAUAGGAGCUCCUGCUGCAUGGUGGGGGUUGGAAAGUUUCGGCGGUUGGGGAUGGACUCGCGGCUUAUCAGCUUGUUGGUGGGGUAGUGGCUUACCAAGGCUUUGACGGGUAGCCGGCCUGAGAGGGUGACCGGCCACAUUGGGACUGAGAUACGGCCCAGACUCCUACGGGAGGCAGCGGUGGGGAAUAUUGCACAAUGGGCGGAAGCCUGAUGCAGCAACGCCGCGUGCGGGAUGACGGCCUUCGGGUGGUAAACCGCUUUCGCCUGUGACGAAGCGUGAGUGACGGUAAUGGGUAAAGAAGCACCGGCUAACUACGU